rnacentral:rRNA from 1 species
GGACCGGCUAAUUCCGUGCCAGCAGCCGCGGUAAUACGGAAGGUCCGGGCGUUAUCCGGAUUUAUUGGGUUUAAAGGGAGCGCAGGCGGACUUUUAAGUCAGUUGUGAAAUACGGCGGCUCAACCGUCGGACUGCAGUUGAUACUGGAGGUCUUGAGUGCACACAGGGAUACUGGAAUUCAUGGUGUAGCGGUGAAAUGCUCAGAUAUCAUGAAGAACUCCGAUCGCGAAGGCAGGUAUCCGGGGUGCUACUGACGCUGAGGCUCGAAAGUGCGGGUAUCAAACAGGAUUAGAUACCCUGGUAGUCCGCACAGUAAACGAUGAAUACUCGCGGUUGGCGAUACACAGUCAGCCGCCCAGCGAAAGCGUUAAGUAUUCCACCUGGGGAGUACGCCGGCA